rnacentral:rRNA from 1 species
UACGUAGGGGGCAAGCGUUGUCCGGAUUUACUGGGCGUAAAGAGCGCGUAGGCGGAAGCGCCAGUCCGGCCUGAAAGCCCCCGGCUCAACCGGGGAGAGUGGCUGGAAACUGCGUUUCUUGAGGGCGAGAGGGGAGGGUGGAAUUCCUGGUGUAGCGGUGAAAUGUGUAGAGAUCGGGAGGAACACCGGUGGCGAAGGCAGCCUUCUGGGCCAACACUGACGCUCAUGCACGAAAGCUAGGGGAGCAAACAGG